CCGGAUCUCAAAUCAAGCAAGA
rnacentral:rRNA from 1 species